UAUAUUUCGAGGCUGAUCAUCGAGCUUCGGCAGCUUUAAACAAUUGUCGCCAUUUCUGGGGAUCUUUUGCCGGACCCUUCCCUUGAUAAAUUCAAACUUUAGUCUUAAAUUGAAAUCACAUUUAUAAAAAAUUGUGAGCACAGACAGACUAUAUAUAUAUAUAUAUCUUGUUGGACAUCUAUUCUGAUAGUAGGUUUUCAAUUCAUGAUGUGAGACAGAAUAAAAAGUGGGCUGUUUGAAUUUUUUAAAAACCAGAAUGCCCAUUCUUGAGAAUAUUUGUAUGUGCCUAUAUUUGCUUACCUCAACUGAAUUGAUCUCGAAGAUUUGGGUGGAUGCCUGAGUGGGAUUACAAGAUUACUAAAAUUGGUGAAGAAGAAGAGGUUAUUACAAUCAUGUCAUCUCUGAUUUUUUUGGAAAUUCUGUACUGUUCCAAAUCGAAGGUACUAUCAAAAUAUCUUGUUCAGGACACAAGAUUGAAAAGCGUAUUCCUGAUUGUCCUCUGUCAAACAACCUUUGAAGGCGUUAAUGAGAGGCAAAUUUCUCUUCCACCAGGAUUUCAGAUGAUGGAAGAGAGAAGGAAUAAACGAGGAGAUUAUGUACUCAAAGGGACUCAAAUGGAGAUUUUAUACUCACAAGGACUCAAGUGGUUGGCAUUGCUUUUCCACAAUAUUGAAGCUCUCCAAGUGACAGUGGAUUCACUCUCUGAAGUCUUUUCUUGGUUAUCACUCUACUUAGUAGGAAAUAGAAAAGUCAUGCUCUGUCUAAUAGAACUUGAUUCUGGUAUGUUAAUUUUGAUGCAGUGAGGCAAGUUAAUUUUGAAGCCCUUAUUAUUAUUAUUAUUUUUUCACUUAGGCAUGCAAUUUUCUAUUUUUAGUUUCAAAUUUUAAUAAAUAUUUCUUUUUCUUGGGGCAGCAUUUUCAUGUUAUGUUGACAGGAAGAAUAGUGUUUGGCAAAUGGUCACAAUAACUUGAUUUAUGGCUCCCUGUGUUGAUAAUAUAUAAUGUCCUUCACCAAUUAGCAGAAGAGAAUACUCAAGGGGUAAAGCAAUGGCAGGAACUUCAUUGAAGCACAUGUAUAACAAAUGGCAAAUUUGUCUGGUGAAACAAAAGCUGAAUGCUUUGGUUUUCACAUUUUCUUGUUCUACCUGGCAACACAUGUGGAAGAGAGGAGGGAUAAAUGUAGGGGACUGUUUAGUCAAAUGGACUGAUUUACCAGUAAAUCUUUCUGUGCUAAGAAUUUAUAAUUCGUGACACUGAUCAUGUGAGGAACUACUCAAACGGGUAUAACAAUGGCAGAAACUUC